CAGCAGCCGCGGUAAAACGGAGGGGGCUAGCGUUGUUCGGUAUUAUUGGGCGUAAAGGGUGCGUAGGCGGCUUGACAAGUCUUGUGUGAAAUCUAUGGGCUCAACCCAUAGUCUGCACGGGAAACUGUCGGGCUUGAGAAUGGGAGAGGUGAGUGGAAUUUCCGGUGUAGCGGUGAAAUGCGUAGAUAUCGGAAGGAACACCUGUGGCGAAAGCGGCUCACUGGACCAUUUCUGACGCUGAUGCACGAAAGCUAGGGGAGCAAACAGGAUUAGAUACCCCCGUAGUCCCUGUCUCUUAUAC
rnacentral:rRNA from 1 species